AUAUCAAUAAGCGGAGGAAAAGAAACCAACAGGGAUUGCCCUAGUAACGGCGAGUGAAGCGGCAACAGCUCAAAUUUGAAAGCUGGCUCUCGGGCCCGCAUUGUAAUUUGCAGAGGAUGCUUCUGGCGACGCGCCUUCCGAGUUCCCUGGAACGGGACGCCAUAGAGGGUGAGAGCCCCGUCCGGUCGUGCGCCUAGCCUCUGUGAAGCUCCUUCGACGAGUCGAGUAGUUUGGGAAUGCUGCUCAAAAUGGGAGGUAUACGUCUUCUAAAGCUAAAUACCGGCCAGAGACCGAUAGCGCACAAGUAGAGUGAUCGAAAGAUGAAAAGCACUUUGAAAAGAGAGUUAAAAAGUACGUGAAAUUGUUGAAAGGGAAGCGCUCAUGACCAGACUUGGGCUGGCCCGAUCAUCCGGCGUUCUCGCCGGUGCACUCGGGCCGCCCAGGCCAGCAUCAGCUUUCGCCGGGGGAUAAAGGCGGCGGGAAUGUGGCUCCCUCGGGAGUGUUAUAGCCCGCCGUGCAAUACCCUGGUGGGGGCUGAGGUUCGCGCGUAUGCACGGAUGCUGGCGUAAUGGUUAUCAGCGACCCGUCUUGAAACACGGACCAAGGAGUCGUCUUCGUAUGCGAGUGUUCGGGUGUCAAACCCCUACGCGGAAUGAAAGUGAACGCUGGUGAGAGCUUCGGCGCAUCACCGACCGAUCCUGAUGUUCUCGGACGGAUUUGAGUAAGAGCAUACGGGGCCGGACCCGAAAGAAGGUGAACUAUGCCUGUAUAGGGUGAAGCCAGAGGAAACUCUGGUGGAGGCUCGCAGCGGUUCUGACGUGCAAAUCGAUCGUCAAAUAUGGGCAUGGGGGCGAAAGACUAAUCGA
rnacentral:rRNA from 1 species